rnacentral:lncRNA from 1 species
CCGGAUGGCCGACGCCUGGCUCUACAGGGGCGUCUGGGAGGGGAUAACGGUGUCUCCCUCGACCCUAAACGAACCCUAGCCACCCCCCUCCUUAUGCCCCCCUCGCUUGAACUCGAGCUCGACCGAACCGCAACCGUCAUGGCCGACCUCGCCCGUAUGCUCUUCGUCGUCCCUGCGCCCUAGGAGUUGUCCAUGAGCUCCGUCGUCGAAUGCUACGCCCCCUACGCCAACGAACACGAGCCGGCCUCCCUACAGAGCCAGAUCACCGUCUUCUUCAACUUUCGGCCGCCGUGAUGUCGUCGUCACCACUGCAUCCCCGGCUUCCUCGAUCUCACCUACAGCUUCCCCGUGAGCUCCUCUGUCGAUUCCCCUCUUCCCCCUCUUCGUUUCGUGGUCGUAGCCGUCGCCUUGUGCUCGUCAUUGGUCACACAUGUGUUGUACCCGCACUCGCUACGCCCGGGCCAUGCCCAGCCCGCACGUUGGGCUCCCCUGGCUGCGCCUUGCUCCGAGCGCCGCGCCAAAACCAAUUCCCCGCGUGCGCGUGGCCACGCCUCCUCCCCUACCUGCGCUGCUUCCACUUCCGCUAGCAGCCGCUGCUUGCUCUGCCUAGAACUGCUGUUCUUGAUGCCUCUAGCGCCGCCGUCGUUGUUGCUGCUUGUUGUUUCUACUGCAUGUCGCUGCUGAUUACUUGCUGCUACUGCUGCUGCUGCUGCUUAGCUACUAGCCUCCGACUAUUGCUUGCUUGCCGCUCCUCCUGCUACUUUUGCCGCUGCUUUGCUUUGUGCUGCGGCUGCUCUUUUGCGUUGGCUGUUGAUGCUACCUGCUGCUGCCUGUUGUUGCCAUUUGCUGUUGCUCUUGGCCAGGGCAGAGCGCCCAUGUGUUGUGCGUGAGUGUGCACAGCCGUGAGGCAUGGCUGACCAAUGGCCGCCCUAGUUAAUUAGUGGUAGGUUAGAUUAGGAGAUAAACUAGCAUAUGCCAAGUGGGCUCUUGUACAUAAUUAGUUUAGUUAAUUAGGUGGGUUUAUUUCUGUUAUUAGGUGUAGCCUAUGACAAGUGGACCCAGACUAAUUAAUCUAAUUAACUAGAAUAUUUUAGUUGCUUCCUAUGAUAUGUGGGCCACACACUACUCAUUUGACUAGUCAGGUUGACUUGGUCAACUCGAUUUAAAAUAAAUCCAAAAUUUUAGAAACUGUUUUAAACUUUAAAAAUUCAUAUAAAAUAAACUGUAACUUCAAUGAAAAUAAUUUAUAUAUGAAAAAUGAUCACAAAAAUAAUGGUGAAUCCGAAUACGCCAUCCACAUACCGGUCACAUGCCCCUAACACUGCAAACAUGGAACCGUCCCCUCCGAUUCAUCUGUCCGAAAAUGCCCAACACCGGAAAUACUUUCUCAAAUCUUUUUCCCCUUUGCCAGUAGCACCUAGUAUUGUGUUAGGUCACCCCUAGCACCACGUAUUGCCAUGUUAUGCUUUAUGAUGCUUUGAUUGCUCUGUUAUUUAUUGUGUUCCCCCUCUGUUACUUCUUUCCGGUAGACCCCGAGACCCUGCCGAUACCCCUGUGAUCGACUACAUCGACGACGACCCCUCCUUGCCAUAGCAACUAGGCAAAGCCAACCCCCCUUGUUCAUCCUGAUAUCGCAUAUUCCUUCUCUCUACUGCUUGCAUUAGAGUAGUGUAGCAUGUUACUGCUUUUAGUUAAUCCUAUUCUGCUGCAUAGCCUGUAUUUGCUAUUAUUAUUGUUACCUUUACCUACAAUCCUAAAUGCUUAGUAUAGGAUGCUAGUUUAUCAUCAGUGGCCCUACAUUCUUGUCCGUCUGCCAUGCUAUACUAUCAGGCCAUGAUCACUCGGGAGGCGAUCACGGGUAUAUACUUACAUACAUAUUGUAUGAUACAUGUGGUGACUAAAGUCGGGUUGGCUCGUAGAGUACCGUGAGUGAUUCACGGAUUGGGGGCUGAAAGGACAUUUGUCCCGACGGCCCUCUGGAUGGAUCUUUGUGGUGGAGCGAUAGGGCAGGUUGAGACCACCUAGGUGAGAGGUGGGCCUGGCCCCUAGUCGGCGUCCAUGGUAACUUCAAAAUGACACGCUUAACAAGAUCUUGGUAUUUGAUCUGAGUCUGGCUACGAGCCUAUAUGCACUAACCAACUACACGGGAACAGAUAUGGGCACUCGGCAUCGUGGUAUCAGCUGAAGCCUUCUUAACAUUAGCGACUGAGCGGCGCGUGCCGCAUUGGACUGGAACGCCUGCUCUUGUAUUAGGGAGGCUAGGUCCGCUUCUGGCCGCCCUUGCAACGUGUAGGUGUGCAAUGGGCGAUGGGCCCAGUCCCCGGCGUGCUUAGGGUUUAGACCGGCGUGCUGACCUCUCUGUUGUGCCUAGAUAGGGCUGCGACGUGUUGAUCUUCUGAGGCCGGGUAUAACCCAGGAAAGUGUGCCCGGCCAGAGGGAUCGAGCGUGUUGAGUAAUGUGGUGCACCCCUGCAGGUAAGUUUAUCUAUUCGAAUAGCCGUGUCCCUAAAAGGACGACCCGGAGUUGUACCUCGACCUUAUGACAACUAGAACCGGAUACUUAAUAAAACACACCCUUUCAAGUGCCAGAUACAACCAGAUGAUCGCUCUAUCACAGGGCGACGAGGAGAGGAUCGCCAGGUAGCUUUUAUGCUAUACGAUGAUACUUGGUGAACUUACCAGCUACUCUCUUCUAUAUACUUCAAGAUAGAGGCUUCCAGAAGCGUAGUCUUUGAUAGGACUAGCUAUCCCCCUCUUAUUCUGGCAUUUUGCAGUUCAGUCCACAGAUACUACCCAUUUCAUUGACACCAAUGCAUAUGUAGUGUAGAUCGUUGCUUGUGAGUACUUUGGAUGAGUACUCACGGUUGCUUUGAUCCUCUUUUUCCCCUUUAUAUACCUGGUUGUUGCGAGCAGAUGUUGGAGCCCAGGAGCCAGACGCCAUCGACGAUGAUGCCUACUACACCGAAGGUGCCUACUACUACGUGCAGGCCGCCGCCGCCGACGACCAGGAGUAGUUUAGGAGGAUCGCAGGCACGAGACCUGCGCCUCUUUUAAUCUGUAUCCUAGUUUGUGCUAGCCAUCUUAUGGCAACUUGUUUAACUUAUGUCUGUACUCAGAUAGUAUUGCUUCCAUUGACUCGUCUAUGAUCAAGCACUUGUUUUCUAUCCCUCGAGGCCCUUGGCUUGUAUUAUAAUGCUUGUAUGACUUAUUUAUUUUUAGAGUUGUGCUGUGAUAUCUUCACGUGAGUCCCUGAUCUUGAUCAUACACGUUUCCGUGUAUGAUUAGUUGAUAACCCACAAGUAUAGGGGAUCACAACAGUUUUC